rnacentral:lncRNA from 1 species
AUGUCUGUACUUACAGAGAAAAUACUCUCCGAUUUUGUGGAUUCUUCUCAAAAGAAGGAUUUUUAUGAGAACCGUGGGAAAAAUGCCACGGAGCUAAAUUCAUGUGCUGAUUUAAAACUCAAUGCAGCUGGUAAAUAUUCAAACAGCAGCCUGCAAACUAAGACAGCGAACCAUUUUCACAGUUUAGAGGACUCUUCACAAGUGGAUAAACAAGAAUCAGCCAGUGGAAAAAAUGAAACUCAGAUUUCUGAUUUAAAACCCAACGGGGCUUUUUGUGUGGAUGAACUUGUAGGAGUUGACAGCAGUCUGCAGACUGUGCGUCCAGAAAACUCUACAGAACAAGAUUGCUGUGGCAUCGGAGACAAAGAGCAAACGCCACAUGCUGAUUUAAGUCCCAGUGCAGCUAUUAGAUAUCUAAAUGAAAUGUAUAGCUGGGCUGACAGCAGUCAGCCGACAGCAGAAACUUUCCACAGUUUAGAGGACUCUUCUCAAGAGGAUGAAGAGUCAGUCAGUGGAACAAACGAAAAUCCAGUUUCUGCUUUUAAACCCAACGUGAUCUUUAAAUGUGACGAUGAAAUUGGAAAGACUGAAGGCAAUCUGCAGACUUUAAGUCCAGAAGAUUUGUCAGAACAGAAUGACUAUUAUGGUACCAGUGAAACAAACGCCUCCAAGCCAAAGCCAACAGCUGAUUUAAACCUUAAUGCUGUGAUUAAUUAUUUAAAUGGAGUUUAUAGCAUGUGUAAUAGCAAUCAGCAGCCAAAUCAAAAAGAAAGCCAGGAAGAAAGAUUAGCUAAACACGUAAAACUCCUGGAAGAAGAAAUUCUCAAACUCAGAGAUCGUUGUAACACACAACAGAAACAGAUCCAAGAUCAUAAGGAUGAAAAGCAAAAGAUUAAGAGAGAGAAAUUAUCAUUAGAAAAGCAGAAACGCCAACUUGAAACAGCAAAGUGGAAGGUUGAACAGGAGCGGCGACAAGUGCAGAAAGAGAAAGAAACGUUGUGUAAUGAAAAAAAUACACUUGAGGACAUCAAGCUACAGCUGAGAGAAGAGACUGAACUACUGGAAGAAGGGAAAAGAUUAUUUAAAAUUAAAACUAAAGAGUUUGAAAAGAGAAAAGCAGAUGAAACGUUACACGUAGCUUUGGCACGUCUGAGGGAAAUGAAAUACCAGUCUGGCACCACGAAAUAUCUGGGAAAACUUAAAAUACAGUCAGAGACCAUGGAUCGUCUGGACGAACAUAUGGACUUUUCUGAAGAUUUGAAACAAACAUUAGAGAGAAAGCAAAGCCAAUCUGAAGGAGCAGAAGACUCNAGACAAAUUUAA